UACGGAGGGUGCAAGCGUUAUCCGGAUUCACUGGGUUUAAAGGGUGCGUAGGUGGGGUGGUAAGUCAGUGGUGAAAUCUCCGAGCUUAACUUGGAAACUGCCAUUGAUACUAUCAUUCUUGAAUAUUGUGGAGGUCAGCGGAAUAUGUCAUGUAGCGGUGAAAUGCUUAGAUAUGACAUAGAACACCAAUUGCGCAGGCAGCUUACUACACAGUAAUUGACACUGAGGCACGAAAGCGUGGGGAUCAAACAGG
rnacentral:rRNA from 1 species